rnacentral:rRNA from 1 species
UAAGACGAGGGGUGCAAACGUUAUUCGGAAUGAUUGGGUGUAAAGGGUGCGUAGGCGGUAUGUUAAGUCAAUCGUUAAAUUUUUCAGCUUAACUGAAAGUCAGCGGUAGAAACUGGCGUACUUGAGGAUGGAAGAGAGAAGUAGAAUUCUCGGAGUAGCGGUAAAAUGCGUAGAUCUCGAGAGGAAUACCAAUGGCGAAGGCAGCUUCUUGGUCCAUAUCUGACGCUGAGGCACGAAAGCGUGGGGAGCAAACAGGAUUAGAUACCCUGGUAGUCCACGCUGUAAACGAUGAUCACUAGACGUUAGUCGCGCUUGCGUGAUUAGUGUUGCAGCUAACGCGAUAAGUGAUCCACCUGGGGAGUACGGUCGCAAGAUUA